ACAAUAUACAAGGUGCUGCAUGGUUGUCGUCAGCUCGUGCCGUGAGGUGUCGGGUUAAGUCCCAUAACGAGCGCAACCCCUAUCAUUAGUUGCCAUCAGGUCAAGCUGGGGACUCUAAUGAAACUGCCUACGCAAGUAGUGAGGAAGGUGGGGAUGACGUCAAAUCAGCACGGCCCUUACGUCCAGGGCUACACACGUGCUACAAUGGCCGGUACAAAGGGCAGCUACCUGGUGACAGGAUGCUAAUCUCCAAAGUCGGUCUCAGUUCGGAUCGGAGUCUGCAACCCGACUCCGUGAAGUUGGAUUCGCUAGUAAUCGUGGAUCAGCAUGCCACGGUGAAUACGUUCCCGGGCCUU
rnacentral:rRNA from 1 species